GACGUAGGGGGCGAGCGUCAUCCGGAAUUACUGGGCGUAAAGCGCAUGCAGGCGGUCUUUCAAGUUCCUGAUGACAGUCAUCGGCUUAACCGGUGAAGUAUGGGGAAAACUGGGAGACUUGAGAACGAGAGAGGGAUACGGAACUCCGAGUGGAGCAGUGAAAUGCGUAGAUAUUCGGAAGAACACCAAAGGCGAAGGCAGUAUCCUGGCUCGUGUCUGACGCUCAAGUGCGAAAGCGAGGGGAGCGAACGGG
rnacentral:rRNA from 1 species